GCCUUCUUGGUGAAGCGGUUACGCCGCCGGCACUAGUAUGACAAGUUCCUAUAAGGAGGUCCAGGGUUCGAUUCCCUGGGGAGGCA